ACGGCUCAGUAACACGUAGUCAAUCUACCCUAUGGACGGGGAUAACCUCGGGAAACUGAGAAUAAUACCCGAUAGAACAUUAUGCCUGGAAUGGUUUAUGUUUCAAAUGAUUUAUCGCCAUAGGAUGGGACUGCGGCCUAUCAGUUUGUUGGUGAGGUAAUGGCCCACCAAGACUAUUACAGGUACGGGCUCUGAGAGGAGUGGCCCGGAGAUGGGUACUGAGACACGGACCCAGGCCCUAUGGGGCGCAGCAGGCGAGAAAACUUUGCAAUGUGCGAAAGCACGACAAGGUUAAUCCGAGUGGUUUCUGCUAAAGAAACCUUUUGUCAGUCCUAGAAACACUGGUGAAUAAGGGGUGGGCAAGUUCUGGUGUCAGCCGCCGCGGUAAAACCAGCACCUCAAGUGGUCAGGAUGAUUAUUGGGCCUAAAGCAUCCGUAGCUCGUUUUGUAAGUUUUCGGUUAAAUCCAUGCGCUUAACGUAUGGGCUGCCGGGAAUACUGCAUGACUAGGAAGUGGGGGAGGUAGACGGUACUCGGUAGGAAGGGGUAAAAUCCUUUGAUCUAUUGAUGACCACCUGUGGCGAAGGCGGUCUACCAGAACACGUUCGACGGUGAGGGAUGAAAGCUGGGGGAGCAAACCGGAUUAGAUACCCGGGUAGUCCCAGCUGUAAACUAUGCAAACUCAGUGAUGCAUUGGCUUGUGGCCAAUGCAGUGCUGCAGGGAAGCCGUUAAGUUUGCCGCCUGGGAAGUACGUACGCAAGUAUGGAACUUAAAGGAAUUGGCGGGGGGA
rnacentral:rRNA from 1 species